UUUCCACUAGCUCUACAAAAGCCAAUAGCAGGCAGAGGAAGAAAGAUGAAUUUUGGACAAAAUACCUCAAGGUUUCUACUCCAGUGUGUAAAAAACCCACCACCACUCAUACCUGGGUGAAAAUGUAACAGCCUCAGAGAUAAAGUGAGCCAACACAAGCCCUGCCUAUAUCCUGGCAUAUACUGACGUAAGGUAGGUAAAUCUCACAGUUUGAUCUGAACGACAU